rnacentral:rRNA from 1 species
GACGAACGCUGGCGGCGUGCUUAACACAUGCAAGUCGAACGGAAAGGCCCUGCUUUUGUGGGGUGCUCGAGUGGCGAACGGGUGAGUAACACGUGAGUAACCUGCCCUUGACUUUGGGAUAACUUCAGGAAACUGGGGCUAAUACCGGAUAGGAGCUCCUGCUGCAUGGUGGGGGUUGGAAAGUUUCGGCGGUGGGGGAUGGACUCGCGGCUUAUCAGCUUGUUGGUGGGGUAGUGGCUUACCAAGGCUGUGACGGGUAGCCGGCCUGAGAGGGUGACCGGCCACAUUGGGACUGAGAUACGGCCCAGACUCCUACGGGAGGCAGCAGUGGGGAAUAUUGCACAAUGGGCGGAAGCCUGAUGCAGCAACGCCGCGUGCGGGAUGACGGCCUUCGGGUUGUAAACCGCUUUCGCCUGUGACGAAGCUUGAGUGACGGUAAUUGGUAAAGAAGCACCGGCUAACUACGUG